rnacentral:rRNA from 1 species
GAUGAACGCUGGCGGCGUGCCUAAUACAUGCAAGUCGAGCGAACGGACGAGAAGCUUGCUUUUCUGAUGUUAGCGGCGGACGGGUGAGUAACACGUGGAUAACCUACCUAUAAGACUGGGAUAACUUCGGGAAACCGGAGCUAAUACCGGAUAAUAUUUUGAACCGCAUGGUUCAAAAGUGAAAGACGGUCUUGCUGUCACUUAUAGAUGGAUCCGCGCUGCAUUAGCUAGUUGGUAAGGUAACGGCUUACCAAGGCAACGAUGCAUAGCCGACCUGAGAGGGUGAUCGGCCACACUGGAACUGAGACACGGUCCAGACUCCUAGGGGAGGCAGCAGUAGGGAAUCUUCCGCAAUGGGCGAAAGCCUGACGGAGCAACGCCGCGUGAGUGAUGAAGGUCUUCGGAUCGUAAAACUCUGUUAUUAGGGAAGAACAUAUGUGUAAGUAACUGUGCACAUCUUGACGGUACCUAAUCAGAAAGCCACGGCUAACUACGUG